GUGGGGAAUUUUGGACAAUGGGCGCAAGCCUGAUCCAGCCAUUCCGCGUGCAGGAUGAUGGCCUUCGGGUUGUAAACUGCUUUUGUACGGAACGAAAAGCCUCUGGUUAAUACCCGGGGGUCAUGACGGUACCGUAAGAAUAAGCACCGGCUAACUACGUGCCAGCAGCCGCGGUAAUACGUAGGGUGCGAGCGUUAAUCGGAAUUACUGGGCGUAAAGCGUGCGCAGGCGGUGAUGUAAGACAGUUGUGAAAUCCCCGGGCUCAACCUGGGAACUGCAGCUGUGACUGCAUUGCUGGAGUGCGGCAGAGGGGGAUGGAAUUCCGCGUGUAGCAGUGAAAUGCGUAGAUAUGCGGAGGAACACCGAUGGCGAAGGCAAUCCCCUGGGCCUGCACUGACGCUCAUGCACGAAAGCGUGGGGAGCAAACAGGAUUAGAUACCCGGGUAGUCC
rnacentral:rRNA from 1 species